UUCAAGCAGGGGAGCUUUGCCUUUGCAUGGCAGAUGGCAGGGGUUCGACUCCCCUAGGCUCCA
rnacentral:tRNA from 2 species